UACGUAGGGGGCAAGCGUUGUCCGGAAUCAUUGGGCGUAAAGCGCGUGUAGGCGGCUUGGUAAGUCUGCUCUGAAAGCCCGGGGCUCAACCCCGGGAGGCGGGUGGAUACUGUCAAGCUCGAGUCCGGAAGAGGAGUGUGGAAUUCCUGGGUGUAGCGGUGAAAUGCGCAGAUAAUCAGGAGGAACACCAAUGGCGAAGGCAGCACUCUGGGCCAACACUGACGCUGAGUGAGCGAAAGCCAGGGGAGCAAACGGG
rnacentral:rRNA from 1 species